rnacentral:rRNA from 1 species
GGGACACGUGGUAUCCUGUCUGAAUAUGGGGGGACCAUCCUCCAAGGCUAAAUACUCCUGACUGACCGAUAGUGAACCAGUACCGUGAGGGAAAGGCGAAAAGAACCCCGGCGAGGGGAGUGAAAAAGAACCUGAAACCGUGUACGUACAAGCAGUGGGAGCACGCUUAGGCGUGUGACUGCGUACCUUUUGUAUAAUGGGUCAGCGACUUAUAUUCUGUAGCAAGGUUAACCGAAUAGGGGAGCCGAAGGGAAACCGAGUCUUAACUGGGCGUUAAGUUGCAGGGUAUAGACCCGAAACCCGGUGAUCUAGCCAUGGGCAGGUUGAAGGUUGGGUAACACUAACUGGAGGACCGAACCGACUAAUGUUGAAAAAUUAGCGGAUGACUUGUGGCUGGGGGUGAAAGGCCAAUCAAACCGGGAGAUAGCUGGUUCUCCCCGAAAGCUAUUUAGGUAGCGCCUCGUGAAUUCAUCUCCGGGGGUAGAGCACUGUUUCGGCAAGGGGGUCAUCCCGACUUACCAACCCGAUGCAAACUGCGAAUACCGGAGAAUGUUAUCACGGGAGACACACGGCGGGUGCUAACGUCCGUCGUGAAGAGGGAAACAACCCAGACCGCCAGCUAAGGUCCCAAAGUCAUGGUUAAGUGGGAAACGAUGUGGGAAGGCCCAGACAGCCAGGAUGUUGGCUUAGAAGCAGCCAUCAUUUAAAGAAAGCGUAAUAGCUCACUGGUCGAGUCGGCCUGCGCGGAAGAUGUAACGGGGCUAAACCAUGCACCGAAGCUGCGGCAGCGACGCUUAUGCGUUGUUGGGUAGGGGAGCGUUCUGUAAGCCUGUGAAGGUGUGCUGUGAGGCAUGCUGGAGGUAUCAGAAGUGCGAAUGCUGACAUAAGUAACGAUAAAGCGGGUGAAAAGCCCGCUCGCCGGAAGACCAAGGGUUCCUGUCCAACGUUAAUCGGGGCAGGGUGAGUCGACCCCUAAGGCGAGGCCGAAAGGCGUAGUCGAUGGGAAACAGGUUAAUAUUCCUGUACUUGGUGUUACUGCGAAGGGGGGACGGAGAAGGCUAUGUUGGCCGGGCGACGGUUGUCCCGGUUUAAGCGUGUAGGCUGGUUUUCCAGGCAAAUCCGGAAAAUCAAGGCUGAGGCGUGAUGACGAGGCACUACGGUGCUGAAGCAACAAAUGCCCUGCUUCCAGGAAAAGCCUCUAAGCAUCAGGUAACAUCAAAUCGUACCCCAAACCGACACAGGUGGUCAGGUAGAGAAUACCAAGGCGCUUGAGAGAACUCGGGUGAAGGAACUAGGCAAAAUGGUGCCGUAACUUCGGGAGAAGGCACGCUGAUAUGUAGGUGAAGCGACUUGCUCGUGGAGCUGAAAUCAGUCGAAGAUACCAGCUGGCUGCAACUGUUUAUUAAAAACACAGCACUGUGCAAACACGAAAGUGGACGUAUACGGUGUGACGCCUGCCCGGUGCCGGAAGGUUAAUUGAUGGGGUUAGCGCAAGCGAAGCUCUUGAUCGAAGCCCCGGUAAACGGCGGCCGUAACUAUAACGGUCCUAAGGUAGCGAAAUUCCUUGUCGGGUAAGUUCCGACCUGCACGAAUGGCGUAAUGAUGGCCAGGCUGUCUCCACCCGAGACUCAGUGAAAUUGAACUCGCUGUGAAGAUGCAGUGUACCCGCGGCAAGACGGAAAGACCCCGUGAACCUUUACUAUAGCUUGACACUGAACAUUGAGCCUUGAUGUGUAGGAUAGGUGGGAGGCUUUGAAGUGUGGACGCCAGUCUGCAUGGAGCCGACCUUGAAAUACCACCCUUUAAUGU